UCAAGUUAUUAAGGGUGCAGGGCGGAUGCCUUGGCACUAGGAGCCGAUGAAGGACGUGAUAAGCUGCGAUAAGCUUCGGGGAGUUGCACGUAAACUUUGAUCCGAAGAUUUCCGAAUGAGGAAACUCACUUAGAGUAAUGUCUAAGUAUCAUUAAGUGAAUACAUAGCUUAAUGAGGGGAACUCAGGGAACUGAAACAUCUAAGUACCUGAAGGAAGAGAAAGAAAUUCGAUUCCGUAAGUAGCGGCGAGCGAACGCGGAUUAGCCCAAACCAAUAAAGUUUUCUUUAUUGGGGUUGCGGACAUAUCAUAACGAAGAGAUAUCGUAAUUGAAGAGGUUUGGAAAGACCCACCACAGAAGGUAAUAGUCCUGUAUGUUAAACGAGAAGACUUAGAUAUGAUCCAGAGUACCACGGGACACGUGAAACCCUGUGGGAAGCAGGAGGGACCACCCUCCAAGGCUAAAUACUACCUAGUGACCGAUAGCGUAUAGUACCGUGAGGGAAAGGUGAAAAGAACCCCGGGAGGGGAGUGAAAUAGAACCUGAAACCCUGCACUUACAAGCUGUGGAAGCACAUUUCUUGUGUGACCGCGUACUUUUUGUAGAACGGGCCAACGAGUUACGUUAAGUAGCAAGGUUAAGCACUUAAGGUGUGGAGCCGUAGCGAAAGCGAGUUUUAACUGAGCGUUCAGUUACUUGACGUAGACCCGAAACCGGGCGACCUACCCAUGAGCAGGAUGAAGCGAAAGUAAAAUUUCGUGGAGGUCCGAACCCACGAGCGUUGAAAAGCUCGGGGAUGACUUGUGGGUAGCGGUGAAAUUCCAAUCGAGCCCGGAGAUAGCUGGUUCUCCCCGAAAUAGCUUUAGGGCUAGCCUCAAGGUGAGAGAUACGGAGGUAGAGCACUGAAUGUCCUAGGGGGUAUUGCACCUACCGAAGACUAUCAAACUCCGAAUGCCGUCAUCUUAUACUUGGGAGUCAGACUGUGGGUGAUAAGAUUCAUAGUCGAAAGGGCAACAGCCCAGAUCGUCAGCUAAGGUCCCUAAAUGUAAGUUAAGUGGUAAAGGAUGUGGGAUUGCACAGACAACCAGGAUGUUGGCUUAGAAGCAGCCACUCAUUCAAAGAGUGCGUAAUAGCUCACUGGUCGAGUGAUCCUGCGCCGAAGAUUUCCGGGGCUAAAACUUACUACCGAAGCUACGGCAUCAGUAAUGAUGGGUAGGGGAGCUUCCC
rnacentral:rRNA from 1 species